UCCGGCUAUAUCAUGUUUAAACACCAGUUCCCGUACGAUCACCGAGCUUAAGCAACGUGGAGCCUGUUCAAUACCUAGAUGAGUGACCGCUUAGAAACAACAGGUG